rnacentral:rRNA from 1 species
CCUACGGGGGGCAGCAGUGGGGAAUAUUGGACAAUGGGGGCAACCCUGAUCCAGCCAUGCCGCGUGUGUGAAGAAGGCCCUCGGGUUGUAAAGCACUUUCAGUGAGGAAGAACGCCUGGUGGUGAAUACCCAUCAGGAAAGACAUCACUCACAGAAGAAGCACCGGCUAACUCCGUGCCAGCAGCCGCGGUAAUACGGAGGGUGCGAGCGUUAAUCGGAAUUACUGGGCGUAAAGCGCGCGUAGGUGGCUUGAUAAGCCGGUUGUGAAAGCCCCGGGCUCAACCUGGGAACGGCAUCCGGAACUGUCAAGCUAGAGUGCAGGAGAGGAAGGUAGAAUUCCCGGUGUAGCGGUGAAAUGCGUAGAGAUCGGGAGGAAUACCAGUGGCGAAGGCGGCCUUCUGGACUGACACUGACACUGAGGUGCGAAAGCGUGGGUAGCAAACAGGAUUAGAUACACCAGUAGUC